AUCUCCUCUUGUAGAUUGCUUCUUCUGGAGUGUUCAGUGAGUCCUGAUCCUCAGACAGGUGUGCUCCAGGGUGCCUGUUGGGCCCAGCUAUGCCCUGCUCUGGGGCCAUUGGAGCCAGUUGGAAUGGGCUGCAUCUGGCCUGGGGCAGCCCUGGUUUUGCUUCAUGCUGCAGCCUUGCAGUGCCCAGUGUCAGCACCUUAGCACUUGUACUUGGAACACGCAGAUAAUUUGCUUUAUACCUGUUACUUGGCACCAUAUGAGCACUUAUCUACAAUCAUUAGUAGUGAGGUUCUACCAUUUACAUGAAGAAAACUGUUUAAUUCACUACUGAAGUUUGCAAGAUUUUUCAUGGUUACGCCAUUCAAUAACUUUUUUCUCUAUGCUAUAAACAGUGAACUAAGUCGUGGACUCAACUUCAUCUAAUUUGACAACUAAAGUAUUUUCUGAAAUGACUGUGCUCUCAGAAACAGUUAACUUUUAUUAGCAUGUAAAUCUUUACAUGUUUUGAGGUUUUUUUUCUGUAUUUUUUCCUAAAUAAAAACAAUGGGUGUACUUAGUGCCUUUGCUGCUCAGCCCACCGCCCUGUGUGAUCUCUGCUUUGUACCUUCAGAUUCUUCUGUUCUUUGUUAGGUAUUUAAUUUCUGUGAGUAAUAGCAGCACAAGUGGCAGAGACUAGAGGACAUAGUUCUGUGCUAUCCCUCUUGCUCCUCCUGUACUGGGCAAGUAGUCUCAUCCAGCCUCCUCAGCAGCCCAUGCCCAACCCAAACCCUAGUGGGACCCUGUCCUGUGUCCCAGUCUAUUCCAUCAGGGCUCCUUGGGCUGCUGCCAGGACCCACUGACACCGCCACCAUUGCCUGCUAUGUUCAGGGCAGGGGGAUGAGGGCAGUUCCUGCCUGCAUUUGGGUGACCGACACUUGGCUCCCACCUCAGGGCAGUCUCUGUGCUAUUGUGCUCCCUGACACUGUGAACAUAAAGAUACUUCUUCCCCUCCCCCCCCCCCCCUUCUAAGUAAGCAUUCUUUCUAGAUAAAAAAUGGAGUUUUAUUUUGUGUAUUUUGCUGAUCUAAAAGGCAUAUUGUACAGGGUUGUAACCAAUAUGUUUUUGUUUAAAUUGUUAUAUGCCUGAGGCUUUAAUAUUUUUUUAUCUGCUUAGUUGCUUUCCUGUGUAAAUCACGAAAAGUUAUGUUUUUGUAAAGGAAAGUAACAAACUAUGAUACUAUAGUUACAUGGUAGAUAAUAUAAUUACAAAAAACAAAGGAAUAAACAUAGUUCAAUCAACACUUUGUCAUUUUAGAGCUUCAUGUUAGGGAUAUAUUUUGCAUGUAUUAGAUUUACAUUAAAUACAUAGUGUAACAAUGA
rnacentral:lncRNA from 1 species